rnacentral:misc_RNA from 1 species
GAUGAAGAACGUAGCGAAAUGCGAUAAGUAAUGUGAAUUGCAGAAUUCAGUGAAUCAUCGAAUCUUUGAACGCACAUUGCGCCCGCCAGUAUUCUGGCGGGCAUGCCUGUUCGAGCGUCAUUUCAACCAUCAAGCCCCCGGCUUGUGUUGGGGACCUGCGGCUGCCGCAGGCCCCGAAAAGCAGUGGCGGGCUCGCUGUCACACCGAGCGUAGUAGAUUUCAUCUCGCUCAGGGCGUGCUGCGGGUUCCGGCCGUUAAACCACCUUCAUAACCCAAGGUUGACCUCGGAUCAGGUAGGAAGACCCGCUGAACUUAAGCAUAUCAAUAAGCGGAGGA